AUUGAACGCUGGCGGCAGGCCUAACACAUGCAAGUCUAGCGAGCGGCGUACGUGUUAGUAAUGUAUGGGGAUCUGCCCUAUAGAGGGGGAUAACUACUGGAAACUGUUGCUAAUCCCGCCUACUAUCGUAUGAACCCAUAUUGGAUUAGCUAGUAGGUGGGGUCAAGGCUCACCUAGGCGACGAUCUCUAGCUGGUCUGAGAGGAUGAUCAGCCACACUGGGACUGAGACACGGCCCAGACUCCUACGGGAGGCAGCAGUGGGGAAUAUUGCACAAUGGGCGAAAGCCUGAUGCAGCCAUGCCGCGUGUAUGAAGAAGGCCUUAGGGUUGUAAAGUACUUUCAGCGGGGAGGCGUUACCCGCAGAAGAAGCACCGGUUAACUCCGUGCCAGCAGCCGAGGUAAGAC
rnacentral:rRNA from 1 species